GAUUUAUACAGAAGUGGCGAGAGAUCAGGCUCUAUGACCCACUGACAACCCCCCGGUCAAUUCGGGGAAGGUGCCAAUUCCUGUCCCGUAAGGGAAAUAUAAAUU
rnacentral:ncRNA from 2 species